rnacentral:rRNA from 1 species
AAUAUGGCGCAACGGAGGAAAGUCUUACGCAGCGACGCCGCGCGGAGGAGGAAGGUUUUCGGAUCGUAAACUCCUGUCACGAGGGAAGAAACCUAUUAGGAAUAACACUCAUAGUAAUUGACGGUACCUGAAGAGGAAGCACCGGCUAAUUCAGUGCCAGCAGCCGCGGUAAUACUGAAGGUGCAAGCGUUAAUAGGAAUCACUGGGCGUAAAGCGGUCGUAGGUGGCUUAGUAAGUCAGAUGAGAAAGCCCACGGCUCAACCGUGGAAUUGCAUUUGAUAUUGCAUCGCUAGAGUAUAGGAGAGGGAAGUGGAAUUUGUGGUGUAGGAGUGAAAUCCGUAGAGAUCAGAAGGAACACCGGUGGCGAAGGCGACUUCCUGGACUAUUACUGACACUGAGGAGCGAAAGCGUGGGGAACAAACAGGAUUAGAUACCGUGGUAGUCCACGCCGUA